rnacentral:tRNA from 1 species
GGGGACGUAGCUCAGAUGGGAGAGCGUCGCGUUCGCAAUGCGAAGGUCGGGAGUUCGAUCCUCCUCGUCUCCACCA